GAUGAACGCUAGCGGCAGGCUUAACACAUGCAAGUCGAGGGGUAGAGGUUGCUUGCAACCUUGAGACCGGCGCACGGGUGCGUAACGCGUAUGCAACCUACCUUUUACAGAGGGAUAGCCCAGAGAAAUUUGGAUUAAUACCUCAUAGUAUAUAACCUUCGCAUGUUGGUUAUAUUAAAGUUCCAACGGUAAAAGAUGGGCAUGCGUCCUAUUAGCUAGAUGGUAAGGUAACGGCUUACCAUAGCAACGAUAGGUAGGGGUCCUGAGAGGGAGAUCCCCCACACUGGUACUGAGACACGGACCAGACUCCUACGGGAGGCAGCAGUGAGGAAUAUUGGACAAUGGGCGCAAGCCUGAUCCAGCCAUGCCGCGUGCAGGAAGAAGCAUCUAUGGUGUGUAAACUGCUUUUGUACAGGAAGAAACACCCCGACGUGUCGGGGCUUGACGGUACUGUAAGAAUAAGGAUCGGCUAACUCCGUGCCAGCAGCCGCAGUAAUAC
rnacentral:rRNA from 1 species